rnacentral:lncRNA from 1 species
AUAUAUAUCAAAUCUUCUAAAUUUCCUUUCUGACGAGAAUACCCGUUACCUAUACAUGUUUUUUUUUUUAAUUCCUUCCACACCUCCUCUAUUAUGGUUUGCGCCGGCACAUCGUUGUCAUCACCUUCACCAACACAUCUUUAUCCUCCUCGCCGGCACAACUUCAUUGUCACCUUUGCUAGCAUGACGUCGUCGUCCUUACAUUGCAUGUAUAUCGACGGAAGUCCACGAAUCAUAACGGCAUUGUUGAUGGUCUACCGACAUGUCAUCGGUGGUCGAGAUAUAUGCCUAUGCGCAUUAUUGGUG